CUCAAUAAAGAUAAUAUCUUAUUAUAUAAAAGAGUGUUUUGCUCUCUAAAGCCACGCAGGAUUCCACCUCUGGGAAAAUCGAAUCCUAGCAUCGCGACACAUGUACCACAAGGAUGCAACUCAUCGUUUCAUUUAUUCGCGAGAGCUAUGGACUUUGAUCGUUGUUUGGGCUCUAGAGAUUGAUGGUUUCUGCAGCCCGAGGACAUGGAAUCGUCUCUACGCGAAGAAAUGGCGAUGGAGUUCGUCGGAUGUCCGAGUUCGUCUCUCCUCUUCGUUCUUCAAUAUCAAAACUCAAAUCUGUUUCUCCGACCUUUCAUCCUCAUUAAUAGUUUCUCCGUUGAAGUCUCAUGGGCUCCUCGAUCUCGAGUGCUGCUUCUCACACCGUCUAGGACCUGUCUUGAUGCUGCUGCUUCUCUGUCUCCGCCACUGCGCCUCCGACUACUCCGCCUGUGUCUCCUCCUUUGUGAGCGGCUCCAUAUCUCCUCCUCUGCCUCAUUAUACUGAUUAUAGAUGUUUUGAGAAGCCUGUUAUGAGAGAAAGGUGGUGACAUCAUGGGCGUCGACAUUCUCCUCCUCGACCAGAAGGUAUUUCCGGCGACCAAUAGCCCUUCUGAGUACUUUAUAUGGUUGAUUACAUAUUCCGGCAUCCCAGCUCCUUUUUGUCUGAGUUGAAGCAGAAGACCGACAAGAUUUAAUUAGGUCUCUACCGUUGACGGUAGCUGAAAUCAAUCCAGACUCUGUCUUGAUCCUUUAAGCUCAAAAAGGUCUCCUUGAUUCAGCCAGCCAUUAACCCAUAUUGUCAAAGAGAGAGAAACAAAGAAAGUUUGAUACUUUCACAAGAGAAGACGAACCUAAUGAAGUGGAAGGUGACGUUUAGUAAGAAGAGGAAGAGAUACGAAACUGUGGAUUGCAAAGUAGUUGAAUAAGGCACUAAGGCUAAUGAAUACAACGAGAAGACAAUGUUAAAGCAUAAGAUGUUCAAGCUGAUACAUACAUGAAGUUAUAUGUUGGGGAGAUUCCUUAUCAGAGCACAAAAGAUGAAAUUCAUAGCUACUCCAGAAGCUCAGGGUCAUUACAAAAGUUGACUAUAAAAUGCGUAAGAUGGGUCAUUCAGUGGAAUUGCUUUAUCACAUUCUAAGUGUGACACAAGAGAGCAUUGAUUUCUCUGACAAGGUUGGGAUUGAAUGUGAGUCAAAACCAGAAAAGAGAAUUCAAUUGGGAGGCGCAUCAGAAUUGAGUUAUUUUUGACCAUCAGGGGCUCUAAAAGACACGAGAGCAGAGUCUCGACGGAGUCGCUGAGAUUGACAUCACAACAAAAUCAGAUAAAGGAUAAUAAGCUUAAUACAUUCCUCUUAUUCACUUUCAUUGAAAAUCUUACAGUGAUUAUAUAAUGGCAAACUCAUGUUUACAACUAGGCGAUUUGAAGACCGACCGUUGUAGCUCUACUAUCAAAGUGGGUCUCUUGAAAACAGUAAAACGUAAAAUAACAUACAGCUACUUCUACCACUACGCACUUAUGGACAUUGAAGAUGGUGUAAGAAGUUUCAGUUGUUGAAUUGCCAUUGCAAAGAGUAAAAGUUUCUAUGGGAGCAAUUGCAAUUGCAAGAGGUAAGGAGGCCUUUUGUUGUUGGGUUUUCAGCAGAAAAUGACGGGCAUGGUAAGAUCCGCUGUUGCGUGCAAGUUUAUGUGGAAGUGUUGACUGUUGAGAUGGCCAAAACGUCAGCAUGAAGAAGACUGAUGUUGUGAAGAUUGUUUACGUUAGAACAUCGUUGACGACCGGAUGUGUUGGAGUUGAGUGCACGAUUUAGAAACUAUUUUGGUGAGAAGAUUAUUUCCCCGUCUAACAGUCUCCAGUCUCCCUCUUGCUCACUGUCUCACUGCAAUUCAAAUUCGUUAGCAAAUUUUAAAUCCCGUGUCUAGAAAUCGUUAUCAAAGUAAAAGGAUAUUAAAAUGGUUUUUUGAAAAAGUAGAACCUAAACCAAAAGAAGUAAACCGGAAAUUGGUCCUACAAAGUGCUCUGUUCCACUCUUGCGUAAAUAUAUAUUAAUCUAUCUAAGUGAUUAUGUU